GACGAACGCUGGCGGCGUGCUUAACACAUGCAAGUCGAACGGAAAGGCCCUGCUUUUGUGGGGUGCUCGAGUGGCGAACGGGUGAGUAACACGUGAGUAACCUGCCCUUGACUUUGGGAUAACUUCAGGAAACUGGGGCUAAUACCGGAUAGGAGCUCCUGCUGCAUGGUGGGGGUUGGAAAGUUUCGGCGGUUGGGGAUGGACUCGCGGCUUAUCAGCUUGUUGGUGAGGUAGUGGCUUACCAAGGCUUUGACGGGUAGCCGGCCUGAGAGGGUGACCGGCCACAUUGGGACUGAGAGACGGCCCAGACGCCUACGGGAGGCAGCAGUGGGGAAUAUUGCACAAUGGGCGGAAGCCUGAUGCAGCAACGCCGCGUGCGGGAUGACGGCCUUCGGGUUGUAAACCGCUUUCGCCUGUGACGAAGCGUGAGUGACGGUAAUGGGUAAAGAAGCACCGGCUAACUACGUG
rnacentral:rRNA from 1 species